rnacentral:rRNA from 1 species
GACGGGGGCCCGCACAAGCGGAGGAACAUGUGGUUUAAUUCGAUGAUACGCGAGGAACCUUACCCGGGCUUGAACUGCAGGUGAACGAUCCAGAGAUGGUGAGGUCCUUCGGGACACCUGUGGAGGUGCUGCAUGGUUGUCGUCAGCUCGUGCCGUGAGGUGUCGGCUUAAGUGCCAUAACGAGCGCAACCCUUUUCUCUAGUUGCCAUCAGGUUAAGCUGGGCACUCUGGAGACACUGCCACCGUAAGGUGUGAGGAAGGUGGGGAUGACGUCAAAUCAGCACGGCCCUUACGUCCGGGGCUACACACGUGUUACAAUGGGGAGUACAGCGAGUCGGUCGUAUGCAAAUGCGAUCCAAUCAUGAAAGCUCUCCUCAGUUCGGAUUGGGGUCUGCAACCCGACCCCAUGAAGCUGGAUUCGCUAGUAAUCGCGCAUCAGCCAUGGCGCGGUGAAUACGUUCCCGGGCCUUGUACACACCGCCCGUCAAGCCAUGAAAGCCGGGGGCUCUUGAAGUCCGGGAAAGCGAGGGUCGGCC